CACGCCGUAAACGAUGAGUACUAGGUGUAGGGGGUAUCGACCCCCCCUGUGCCGCAGUAAACACAAUAAGUACUCCGCCUGGGAAGUACGAUCGCAAGAUUAAAACUCAAAGGAAUUGACGGGGACCCGCACAAGCGGUGGAGCAUGUGGUUUAAUUCGAAGCAACGCGAAGAACCUUACCAGGUCUUGACAUCCCAGUGACCGCUCUAGAGAUAGAGUUUUCCCUUCGGGGACAUUGGUGACAGGUGG
rnacentral:rRNA from 1 species